AUAAUCUACCCGAUAGAUCGGGAUAACAUUUAGAAAUGAAUGCUAAUACCGAAUAAGCUCACGAUGUCUUCGGGCGCUGUGGGAAAAGGUGGGGACCUUCGGGCCUGCCGUUAUCGGAUGAGUCCGCGUCCCAUUAGCUAGUUGGUAGGGUAAUGGCCUACCAAGGCUACGAUGGGUAGCUGGUCUGAGAGGAUGAUCAGCCACACUGGAACUGAGACACGGUCCAG
rnacentral:rRNA from 1 species